rnacentral:rRNA from 1 species
ACGGGAGGCAGCAGUGGGGAAUCUUGCGCAAUGGGCGAAAGCCUGACGCAGCAACGCCGCGUGCGGGAUGAAGGCCUUCGGGUUGUAAACCGCUUUCAGUGGGGACGAAUUCAGACGGUACCCACAGAAGAAGCCCCGGCCAACUACGUGCCAGCAGCCGCGGUAACACGUAGGGGGCGAGCGUUGUCCGGAAUCAUUGGGCGUAAAGAGCUCGUAGGCGGCUCAGUAAGUCGGGUGUGAAACCCCCAGGCUCAACCUGGGGACGCCACCCGAUACUGCUGUGGCUAGAGUCCAGUAGGGGAGUGUGGAAUUCCCGGUGUAGCGGUGAAAUGCGCAGAUAUCGGGAGGAACACCAGCGGCGAAGGCGGCACUCUGGGCUGGAACUGACGCUGAGGAGCGAAAGCGUGGGUAGCAAACAGGAUUAGAUACCCUGGUA